UUCGAAAUGAUGAUAAAAUGUCACUGAUUAGGGCUUUGGUUUCUAUUUUUGAAAUAAUUGCCUAUUGUAAGGAUGUUCGCUUUUGCGAGGCAUUUGUCUGAUUGAGAG